rnacentral:rRNA from 1 species
UACGAAGGGGGCUAGCGUUGUUCGGAAUCACUGGGCGUAAAGCGCACGUAGGCGGAUCUUUAAGUCAGGGGUGAAAUCCCGAGGCUCAACCUCGGAACUGCCUUUGAUACUGGGGAUCUCGAGUCCGGGAGAGGUGAGUGGAACUGCGAGUGUAGAGGUGAAAUUCGUAGAUAUUCGCAAGAACACCAGUGGCGAAGGCGGCUCACUGGCCCGGAACUGACGCUGAGGUGCGAAAGCGUGGGGAGCAAACAGGGAUUAAGAAAC